UACGUAGGGGGCAAGCGUUGUCCGGAAUCAUUGGGCGUAAAGAGCGUGUAGGCGGCCAGAUAAGUCCGCUGUGAAAUCUCGAGGCUCAACUUCGAGCUGUCGGUGAAAACUGUCUGGCUAGAGUCCGGAAGAGGAGAAUGGAAUUCCUGGUGUAGCGGUGAAAUGCGCAGAUAUCAGGAAGAACACCCGUGGCGAAGGCGGUUCUCUGGGACGGUACUGACGCUGAGACGCGAAAGCGUGGGGAGCGAACAGG
rnacentral:rRNA from 1 species